GAUGUCUCUUCUUGACAUGUGGGAUCACUGUGAUUAUCAUCCUUUUCUGCAAAGGAAUUAAAUCAGAACCUGCCUGUGCCAGGUCUUCAAUCAACAGCAGGAUCUUAGGAGGGCAAGAGGCCUCUCCGGGAAGUUGGCCCUGGCAUGUUGCUUUUACCAGUAAAGGCAGGAUCUUUUGUCAAGGCUCCCUGAUUACAGACCAAUGGGUGCUGACAGCUGCUAGAUGCUAUGAGUAGUAAGACACUAUUUUUGCUUGUGAUGAUGAAUAUGAUGUUGUGCAGCAACUAACAGAAGACAAAAUUUCAGAAUCCUUUUUUAUUUCUUCAUUAUUUAGCAGAAUUUA